rnacentral:sRNA from 1 species
UUUGAUCCAACUCGGUGCAGAAGGCUUUACAACCUGCCGAGGCGCGAUGGACUUCUCAGUAAGCAUCCUGAGGGAUACCUUGGGAGAGGAGCUGCCGUAUGCCAGCGAUGACAUGCGGGAAGGCAGAAACUGCCAACAGAAAAGUCGCGGCACCGUGCGAUAGUGAGAUAAAAGUUACUGUACUCGUGGGGCGGGCAAUAGACGCUCCGGUGGAGAAUAAUCCUGUAUGCCUCAUCCGUGGCUGGAUGAUGAAACAGCAGGAAAGCCAACAACCGCUCUGGAGUUGAAAACGGGAAACCGUAUAUAACACGAGAAACAGGUUCGAGUAGCCAAAGCUCUGUAUCUAGAGAAAGACUCGGGUAAUGGUCUGAGAAUUUACCGCCAAUGAUACUUAUGCUGAAGUUUGGUGAAAGUUGUGGGUAUCAGUCCCAUGUGGUCACGGCGAAAGCGGUGUGAAAAUGUUAGGGGUCGCUACCCGAAGCACAGCGUCACAUCACCAGUGAACGAACAUUAUCGAUGAUCA